ACACCACCUGACCUCAGUUUCACCUUGACCUUGAACUUGACCUCGUUUUGGACUUGGGUUGCUUUGUAUCGACAAGGAUGCCACCGGGGGCAUCAAGCGUUUAUUGAACGCAGCUCCUUGUUUUUCAAGUUUUCGAAGUGAAAAAAAGACUUAUUUUGCCACUGCUCAUUUCAUACGAGAAUGCAUCUUUCUGGGCCUUUUUAAGUUACUGCAGAUUAUCUAAGCAAUCAUGGUAAAUUCAUAUGUGACUUGAGACUAAGAACGUUGAUGAUUAUGAACCCGUUAGAGAAAAAAUAAAUUUAAUUCUAUUAUUGUGACAAAGAAAGCGUUUUCUUUCUCAGAGCAACAUAUAUCUGUUGUGUUUUAACUUCCCUAUUCAGAGGGUUCAGAGCGGCUAUUUAGUAUGUGUGGAUGCGCCGGCUAUGGUCGUCCAUCGUCAACAUGACCUCAUCAUGUACUGAAACUUGGAUGCACACUAAACUUGCAUCAUUAGAUUGAGCUCUGUCAAGUCAAAUGGUUCAUUUGCUUGUAUUUAGGGGCAAUUUGGGCAAUUUGGGUAAACGUACGUAGUCUUUUGAACAACUGCUAAUUAGGAAUAACUUGGUGGACCGUCAUAAAACUGUAUAGUAUCCUUACAUUUACAUGCAAUUCUAGAAAGCAAAGUACAACGGCCUACCAAAUUUAUUAGUGUCAGAUCCCUGGAUCUGCGUUUGACAGUUUUUGCAUAAAGUUACAAAGUGUACUUAUUUUAAUAAAAAAAAACCAAACAAGUCUAACAUUCUUUUACAAAACAUAAACGUUACAUGGUAAACAAUCUUUAUGAACCCCAGCAAGCUUAUUAAAAAAAAAUAACAUACAGUCCUUCUGUUGUAAACAACUCUUAACCUCUAGGUGGAUAUUUCCCAAUUUGGGCAGAAACAUCAUCCUUGUUGAGCGACUAAGGGCCAUUGGGGUCAUUUAGUUAAGGGGAUCAUUUUGUACGUGAACAAUAAAUAAUCUGUUCAUUAAAUUGUCAUUUAACGAUUGCUAAAUAUGCCUCAGUAUAUGGAAUGGAUCGGAUAUACAGUUUCCAUAAAAUUGUAAAGUAAAGUAAAGUGGCUAAGUUGCUCGCUUUUUACAUGGCUUUUUCUUAAUUUGCGUGUCUAUUAAUAGUUUAAUACCUGUAUAUAAAUAUAUCUUUCUUGCAUAUUACACAGAAUGAUUUUCCCGUGCUUUAACGGUAGUGGAAAUCCGGUCUCGCGCGUCGGUGUGUAAGAUGACUCGUGCUGUAAUUCAUGCAUGCAUGCAUACAAUUUACAUGCGCUGCUAUUAUAAGCUAGUGCUUAAAAGAAAAACAUUAAGCAGUUACCCCCGAGCUAGAUAUUUCCAUCCGCACCUUUAAUAAGUGAAGUUCUCUAUAAUAUACAUCACAAGAACAUUAAGCAGUUAAAGAAAGCGGUAUAAGUUGAAAAUUCCCCUUUGUAUACAUUUCAAAAUCUCAAAAUUUGAUGUAAAAUAAUUGAUAUGAACUUAGUUCGUAUUCACCUUUCUGCAUCUCUAAAGAUCACUAAAUUGUUAUGCACCUAGUCUUCGAAUGAUUGUCUCAUCAUUUUAUGGCAUUUAAUUUUACAGUUAUCAUUUCUUCCUUUUUAUUUUACUCUGUUCUUUCUUUGUAAAUAACUUUACCGUGAGUCUACGCAGUAUUAAUACAUAUUUAUAAAGGAGGCAUCUUAAAAGCCUACUCAAUCUGUUUCUUACUGACACGCAUACUUUUGCGAUAUUAGUUACAACAUACAGUUUUCGGUCAUGCAUAAACGUCAUUUACUUCUUUCUGAAAUGUCAGCAAUAUUUGUUCAGGCAGCUAUACUCACGAAACGUUUUAAGAUUCUUAGCGCUGCAAUGAAUACUAUAACACCACAUAACCUUGUUGCAGGACGGAAAUAUGAAUACUGAAUAAAAUAAGACCCAUUGGGUCUCUAAAUUGUACAAUCUUUUGCAAUUGGAAUAGAUAAACGUGACAUAAGGAAUAAGAAAAGCAAGUAUACACAGCCAGUCAAUUAUCAUUGAAUGUACAAAUGCAAGUUUUUAUGUUAAUGCCUUAAAAACGAUGUUUUCAUUAAAACGAAAUAUUUUGGAAAUAGUUAAAACAGACAGACGAUUUUCAUGCAAUGUUAAAUGUUGGUAUGUUUCAUUUUAAGCUCAUAAACUUACUUAUGUUUUAACUGCCUGCCUCCGGGUAGUAUAAUUCCCUACAACUGUUCUAUUUUAAUACUCACUCUUAAAGUUUAUUUUUAAGCUCUUUAGAGAAUGUAGUAGAAAUGAAUUGUUUACAUAUGAAUGAUUCUUACAACGUGCUGGUCAUUUUAUCUUGAUCAUAUUUUAAAGACAUAUUAUACACUGUGAUUUUAUCAUUCAUUUUUUUUUGAGCAGAAAAUCAUUAGCGCAUCGGGACCAUUUUUAUACACAUUGUUGCCUUCAGCAAUUGUCAUUGUUACGCAAACAUACUUUAAAGAAUGCUUUUUGUUAAACAAUAUAUUCGAAUGUCUCAAAGAGAUCAUAUCACAGUAGUCGUUAGAAAUUUGUUUUCUUUUCUUCUGUCAGUGCAUAUCCCAUAUAUUACUCUUUUGUGUUUAAAACAAUAAAAUGUU
rnacentral:lncRNA from 1 species